GGCCCGGCCCCGCCGCGGCUCCUCGGGCUGUGCGGUCCGCCGGGCCCGGUUCCGCCGUGCUGGAGCUCUCGCUUCUCUUGUGCUUAAGGGUGUAGCAAAGAGUGGCGCGGGCCCGGCCGCCGGGUUGUGAGGCCGAGAAGCGAUGUGCGCGCUGGCAGAUAGGUGCGCUUCGCUGCUCAGCGCUGCGGCCCCUGCUUGUGGGGCCGGGCUCGGGCGUUCGGCAGCGCAGACGGAGGAGGCCAAGCCGGGUGCUGUCCUCGCGUCCCCUUCUCCCUCGCUCACGAUGUUUCUGAGUGAAAACUGCCAGGUGCGGCCUGCACCCCGCGGACGGGUUCCUCCUUCCUGCUGGAGGAGAUGCGCUCGGUUACAGGUCGCCCGGUGAGAGGACACUUACAGUAAAGAGCCUCACAUAUGGCCGAGGGGUGACUUUAAAGAUACGCAGGGGAAAAAGAAGACUUCUUGAGCACAGCGAGGGGGUACAGCACUGGGAUAUUCUUCUAGUAUCGGGCCAUUGCUGUCAGCUGCUUCUGGAUAGCGGUAGGCCAGCUCAGGUCUGCAAUGGCUAGACGGUCCCUUUUUGUGAAACAGCAUUAAUUCCUCAAGAGGAAAAGCCGAAAACCCUAUGGACGAACUUGGUCUGCCCUUUUCAAUUGCCUCCUAUCAGCCUGAGGUGCUGAAAUGCAUUAAAGAGAUGGCGAACUUCCAGGAAUUAGUGUUGGUCUUGGGUCCUUCAGUCAGUUCUCUCUCCGUCAAUCCAGGAGCACCUCCUGCUCCAGGCGCUGCCUGGCGCUGCCUGCAGUCUCUGUGUCCCUGUGCUACCAGCCUUCCAGGCCCGUGUUCCUCCUUAAAACCAACACGUCGGUAUCCUUGAGAACGUUACACCAAGGUGAAGUGCAGGGAAGCUCAGCAAAAUAUGUCACUAGCUCUGUGUUGCAUGUGGGAAAUACAGUGUUAACUUGGCCUUCUGUGUGUCUCACUGCUGCUUUAUUUCGUAUUUCUGCAUUAUUUCCUGAGUCUGGAACAUGUCUGCAGGGCUAGUUGGUGCACUCUGUCACUGGAUCACACACAGCUUACUAAGACAGGAGGAUUAUGCCCAUCAAGCCAUUGUUUUAGUGUUUUGUUGUGUAUCUGCAGAGAAAGCUGGGCUGAAGCUUGCACUGAACUGGUGCUCAGUGCUCCUGGCAGAGGGGUGCUUUGUUCUCCUGUCUCACCACAAAUGCUGGUGGGCAGUGUUUGCGCUGCUUUGCUGGAAGGCUUGGUCUUCCCAACUGCGUCUGGUUUUUAGUUUUUUAUUUUUAAUUUUCUGGGAGCUUUUGCUGCAUCAGAACUCAGAGCAGUAACUAACUUUGAAUGAGAACUUCUCUUUUAGGUUUCUGUCAGCCCAACCGAGUUUGCUAUCAGCCAGACUUGCUGAUGAUGAGCAGCAGCUUAUUCCUUUGUGAAUAAAAUCACCAUUGAAAUCCUAGCCCUCAGAAAAUUCUUUGGGCUGAACUUGUCAUGGCAGUGUUUUGUCACAAGCAUCCUUAUUUCUGUGACUGUAAAAUCUCCUUAACAUUGAGAAGAGUGUGCUUUUUUUUUUUUUUUUUUUUUUCCCUCAAGACCUCCUUUUGGGAAUGUAUUUCUGCGACGUCUCCGGUGGGAGACGUCUGUCCUUGCUGUGACUCAGGCACGUAGGGGCUGUGUUAGCUCAACGCUCAGCCUGACCUCAGAAGGUCAUCAAACACAGUUGUAUUUCUGUACAACUUGUAUCAGACACUACAGGUGAUGUCCACACUUGGAGCAAUGUGCCUGGAGUGUCAGAGGAAGAUGUUUAGGACUUCUGGUUGAAGGUCAUGAAAACAGACUUCCAGAGAGGGGUCUUGGUUUGUGAGAACUGGUAAUGGUGUAACGCAGAACCAGGCUGCCGGUGCCAGCCUUGCUUGUGUUUUACUGCACCUUAGACUGAAGGAGGAUAAGAGCUGUCUGCCUGUUGAGCAGGAGCUUUACUAGAACCCUAAGGAAAAGUGUUGUUGACAUAAAGAUCCUGUUAAAAUGAACAAAUCUUCAGACUAAUUUUCUCUCCUUAAAUUGGGGAAACAACUAGUUAGCUCAAGCUGAAGAGGAGGAGGAAUCAGGCUUCCUCGUUCCGUGAGCUUUCGGGUUCUGGGCACAGUCCAUCAUCAGUGGCCCAGUUCAGGAGUCUGGGGAGCUGCUGCGGGGAAAGGGAACCAAAGCUAUAUCUGCUGCGUGCCCUCCUGUUGGAAGAUGCUCCUUCUGUGUAAGAAGAGGAUGGUGUGGCUUCUGCACAGGACAAGACAUUGGGAAAAACAGGAGAUGCCCCCUGCUUAGCUGGGACUUGUCUGCUGACCAAGCCAGAGCUUCUUGGCGCUGAUACAAAGUGCAGCAAUUGUCCUCUAUAAGCUUGCCCAGCUGCUUCGCACGAUGUUCUUCAGUUCUGCCUGUCUGCCCUUUCUCCUCUGCUUCCUCCUUUGUCAGAAGUCAGACACGUGGCUGCAGUAACGCAGGUCUCGCUAAACAUCAGCUGAGGCUGCUCCCUUCAAGUUUUAUCAGUAGCAGUGGGGCUACUUGGUGUAGGCUUCUCGGCUCGUCAUGAUGCAGGGAGGUUUUUUAAAGCAGGUCAAGAUUGUUUUGCUGAUUGGUGUGGCUGGGGUAGGAGCGAGACAGUGCAUUGCUUCCUUCCUCUUGCCCUUGCAGUAGUUGUUUCAGCUUUCAUGCAGCUAAAGCUCUUAAGCAGCAGGGAAUCUAAUACAAAUUAUUUUGUAUUGCAUUUUCCCGUAGAAUAUAACCACUUUAAACUGUGGUGUUCUGCGUGGAGUUGUUUGGUGAUGACAGUUCAUAACUGUCUGAAAAUUACUGUGAGUAUUAGAGCAUCUGUCUGGUGUGUUUAGCUAGGUACAGCCUUGUGCAAGCUGCAUUCAAAGCUUUGUCACAGUAAUGGAUUUGGUGCUUACUUUAAAGGGGAAGGAUGUGCUUUGGGCAAUUUCUUCCCACUUGUGCAGGGGAGAUGUGUGCACACUCAUUAGGACAGUGACGUUGGUUUUAGUCCAGACAAGGGAUGUGUAUAAUUUACUAUUUAGUUAAAUAUGGUUUUUCUUAUAUAUUGUUUCCAUGGUUGCUUGCCCUCAAGCCCCUGGUGGUUUCUCUGCGGUUUUCUACUUCUCUAUUGAUAGGCUUUUGUCAAUGCCCUGCUCUUUUCUUUCUUUCCCCUAGAUUAAUGAAUAUUUUUUGAUGGCCCUCUAAGUCUUUUCAUCUAUUUUUCUCCAUUUCCCCACUCUCCAGCCCAAGUGUAUUUCAUAAAGUUUCUUCCCAGCGCUUUCCCCAGCUCAUUUUUAGUACCAAAUGAGCUGUUAGCGUGAGAUUGCUUUUUUUGUCCCAUGGCUUCUGGAUUUUUUUGAGCUGUGGUCGGCAUUUUAGAAUAACCACUAUUGCUGCAAGGACCCCCAGUGAUAGUUAUCACUCCUGGGUGCUGCUGGCUGGCUCAGCUGUCUUCUUUGCAGCCCUUCUAUACCCACCUGCUUGCUCAGCCUUGCGUUGUCCCAGGGUUCAUCUAGAUGCUGAAUUUGUAAUGCAGGCUUCUUUAUUAAGAAGAUAAGAUUGUCGACAAGGUUAAUGCUGCGUGGAGCUUGAAUAUGGCGGAGGGAAUCCCCCUGGAGAUAUUAAGGAUUUAUCUUAAAUGCAUUUAAUCUGUUUUUAUACACUGUGCAGUGAAAUUUGCUCUCGAUUAUACUGGCUAGUGUAAUUGCAGAUUAAGUAUAUCCGUGGGAUGUAACUAUUAACAAUAUAUUCUUAAAUUACACCACGUAUGUGCCAGUGUUGUACUCAGUCAUUUCAUGAUCUCUGUCUUCCUUAAAAAAAAAAAAAAAAGAGUAGACUUACA